rnacentral:rRNA from 1 species
UAAAAAGCUCGUAGUUGGAUUUCUGUGGGGACGGAGCGGCCGGCCGCUACUAGCGGUUCGAGCUAGCGCUUUCCCUACAUCCUGCCGCGAACCGCGCUACCAUUAGUUUGGUGGCGCCGGGGAUCGGCUCGUUUACUUUGAGAAAAAUAGAGUGUUCAAAGCAGGCCACACGCCUUGAAUAAGUUAGCAUGGAAUAAUAACUAAGGACUUCGGUUCUAUUUUGUUGGUGUUCGGGACUGAAGUAAUGAUUGAUAGGGACAGUUGGGGCGGUCCGUAUUCCAAAGCGAGAGGUGAAAUUCUUAGACCUUCGGAAGACGAACAGCUGCCAAGGCG